rnacentral:rRNA from 1 species
AAGAGAGCCGUAACACAGGUGCUGCAUGGCUGUCGUCAGCUCGUGUCGUGAGAUGUUGGGUUAAGUCCCGCAACGAGCGCAACCCUUGUCAUUAGUUGCUACAUUUAGUUGGGCACUCUAAUGAGACUGCCGGUGACAAACCGGAGGAAGGUGGGGGAUGACGUCAAGUCCUCAUGGCCCUUAUAGGUAGGGCUACACACGUCAUACAAUGGCUGGUACAGAGGGUUGCCAACCCGCGAGGGGGAGGCCAAUCCCAUAAAACCAGUCGUAGUCCGGAUCGCAGUCUGCAACUCGACUGCGUGAAGUCGGAAUCGCUAGUAAUCGCGGAUCAGAAUGUCGCGGUGAAUACGUUCCCAGGCCUU